GAUGAACGCUGGCGGCGUGCUUAACACAUGCAAGUCGAACGGAAAGGCCCAAGCUUGCUUGGGUACUCGAGUGGCGAACGGGUGAGUAACACGUGGGUGAUCUGCCCUGCACUUCGGGAUAAGCCUGGGAAACUGGGUCUAAUACCGGAUAGGACCACAUUUUGGAUGGUGUGGUGGAAAGUUUUUCGGUGUGGGAUGAGCUCGCGGCCUAUCAGCUUGUUGGUGGGGUAAUGGCCUACCAAGGCGUCGACGGGUAGCCGGCCUGAGAGGGUGUACGGCCACAUUGGGACUGAGAUACGGCCCAGACUCCUACGGGAGGCAGCAGUGGGGAAUAUUGCACAAUGGGCGCAAGCCUGAUGCAGCGACGCCGCGUGGGGGAUGACGGCCUUCGGGUUGUAAACUCCUUUCGCUAGGGACGAAGCGCAAGUGAUGGUACCUGGAGAAGAAGCACCGGCUAACUACGUG
rnacentral:rRNA from 1 species